rnacentral:rRNA from 1 species
UAGCCGUAAACGAUACUCGCUAGGUGUCGGCCACGGUGCGACCGUUGUCGGUGCCGUAGGGAAGCCGUGAAGCGAGCCACCUGGGAAGUACGGCCGCAAGGCUGAAACUUAAAGGAAUUGGCGGGGGAGCACCACAACGGGUGGAGCUUGCGGUUUAAUUGGAUUCAACGCCGGGAAGCUCACCGGAUAAGACAGCGGAAUGAUUGCCGGGCUGAAGACCCUGCAUAACCAGCUGAGAGGUGGUGCAUGGCGUAGU